rnacentral:rRNA from 1 species
AGAAUCAACGCUGGCGGCGUGCCUAACACAUGCAAGUCGAACGAGAAAGUGGAGCAAUCCACGAGUAAAGUGGCGCACGGGUGAGUAACACGUGACUAACCUACCCUUGAGUGGGGGAUAACCUAGGGAAACCUGGGCUAAUACCGCAUAAUACCUACGGGUCAAAGGAGCAAUUCGCUUAAGCGAGGGGGUCGCGGCCGAUUAGUUAGUUGGCGGGGUAAUGGCCCACCAAGACGAUGAUCGGUAUCCGGCCUGAGAGGGCGCACGGACACACUGGAACUGAAACACGGUCCAGACUCCUACGGGAGGCAGCAGUGGGGAAUUUUGCGCAAUGGGGGAAACCCUGACGCAGCAACGCCGCGUGGAGGAUGAAGUCCCUUGGGAUGUAAACUCCUUUCGAUCGGGACGAUUAUGACGGUACCGGAAGAGAAGCCCCGGCUAACUUCGCGCCAGCAGCCGC